GGUUAAGCGACUAAGCGUACACGGUGGAUGCCCUGGCAGUCAGAGGCGAUGAAGGACGUGCUAAUCUGCGAUAAGCGUCGGUAAGGUGAUAUGAACCGUUAUAACCGGCGAUUUCCGAAUGGGGAAACCCAGUGUGAUUCGUCACACUAUCAUUAACUGAAUCCAUAGGUUAAUGAGGCGAACCGGGGGAACUGAAACAUCUAAGUACCCCGAGGAAAAGAAAUCAACCGAGAUUCCCCCAGUAGCGGCGAGCGAACGGGGAGCAGCCCAGAGCCUGAAUCAGUGUGUGUGUUAGUGGAAGCGUCUGGAAAGGCGUGCGAUA
rnacentral:rRNA from 1 species